UACAGAGUAUCAGGAUUAAAUUACAGUGAAGUUAUGAGAAGGCCAUGUUAAAAUAAUGUGUUUUCAGUAGUUUUUUAAAGUGCUCCACUGUAUUAGCCUGGCGAAUUCCUAUUGGCAGGCUAUUCCAGAUUUUAGGUGCAUAACAGCAGAAGGCCGCCUCACCACUUCUUUUAAGUUUUGCUCUUGGAAUUCUAAGGAGACACUCAUUUGAAGAUCUAAGGUUACGAUUUGGAAUAUAAGAUGUCAGACAUUCCGAUAUAUAAGAUGGGGCGAGAUUAUUUAAGGCUUUAUAAACCAUAAGCAGAAUUUUAAA